AACGAACGCUGGCGGCAGGCUUAACACAUGCAAGUCGAACGCCCCGCAAGGGGAGUGGCGGACGGGUGAGUAACACGUGGGAACAUGCCCAAAGGUACGGAAUAUUCUCGGGAAACUGGGAGCAAUACCGUAUGUGCCCGAAAGGGGAAAGAUUUAUCGCCUUUGGAUUGGCCCGCGUCAGAUUAGGUAGUUGGUGGGGUAAUGGCCUACCAAGCCGACGAUCUGUAGCUGGUCUGAGAGGACGACCAGCCACACUGGGACUGAGACACGGCCCAGACUCCUACGGGAGGCAGCAGUGGGGAAUCUUGGACAAUGGGCGCAAGCCUGAUCCAGCCAUGCCGCGUGGAUGAUGAAGGCCUUAGGGUUGUAAAAUCCUUUCGUUGGGGACGAUAAUGACGGUACCCAAAGAAGAAGCUCCGGCUAACUUCGUGCCAGCCGCCGCAGUAACAC
rnacentral:rRNA from 1 species